GUGGGGAAUAUUGGGCAAUGGGCGCAAGCCUGACCCAGCAACGCCGCGUGAAGGAAGAAGGCUUUCGGGUUGUAAACUUCUUUUCUCAGGGACGAAGCAAGUGACGGUACCUGAGGAAUAAGCCACGGCUAACUACGUGCCAGCAGCCGCGGUAAUACGUAGGUGGCAAGCGUUAUCCGGAUUUACUGGGUGUAAAGGGCGUGUAGGCGGGAAAGCAAGUCAGAUGUGAAAACCAUGGGCUCAACCUGUGGCCUGCAUUUGAAACUGUUUUUCUUGAGUACUGGAGAGGCAGACGGAAUUCCUAGUGUAGCGGUGAAAUGCGUAGAUAUUAGGAGGAACACCAGUGGCGAAGGCGGUCUGCUGGACAGCAACUGACGCUGAGGCGCGAAAGCGUGGGGAGCAAACAGGA
rnacentral:rRNA from 1 species